rnacentral:rRNA from 1 species
AACGAACGCUGGCGGCAUGCCUAACACAUGCAAGUCGAACGAGACCUUCGGGUCUAGUGGCGCACGGGUGCGUAACGCGUGGGAACCUGCCCUUAGGUUCGGAAUAACUCCCCGAAAGGGGUGCUAAUACCGGAUAAUGUCUUCGGACCAAAGAUUUAUCGCCUUUGGAUGGGCCCGCGUUGGAUUAGCUAGUUGGUAGGGUAAAAGCCUACCAAGGCGACGAUCCAUAGCUGGUCUGAGAGGAUGGUCAGCCACACUGGGACUGAGACACGGCUCAGACUCCUACGGGAGGCAGCAGUGGGGAAUAUUGGACAAUGGGCGAAAGCCUGAUCCAGCAAUGCCGCGUGAGUGAUGAAGGCCUUAGGGUUGUAAAGCUCUUUUACCCGGGAUGAUAAUGACAAUACCGGGAGAAUAAGCUCCGGCUAACUCCGUG